rnacentral:lncRNA from 1 species
AUCAUAUAGUGAUUAUGGACUGACUGUCCCUCGUGCAUCUUCAUAUUGAACAAUCGCUUGACAAUUUAAAGUACACAGUCCAGCUUUGCUCACCAUACAACUCUUGCAGGUGAGUGAUCAUGGCACGGAUAGUGGGCAUGUGCUCAUGCUAGCUCUGCAACUCAUUUGACAUCUAAGCAGCACACAACACUGAAGAAAAAAUAGGUAGUUCAAAGCAUAUUUUUUAAAAUUUUAUAGC